rnacentral:lncRNA from 10 species
AAUUAAAUGGUACUGAAAUUGCCUUUCUAUUGUGUUUAACCAGCAAACAGGACAAUAUAUAUGAAGUGGCUGUUUUUGGACAAUAGGCAAUCAGUUCAGGAAUGCAAGCAAUGAAAGAAGGAGCAGAAAUCAAGCCAUUCUCCAGGAUAUCUUUAUUUUCCUAGCCAUCAUCAGGGUAAUCAGGACAUUCAGUUUCACUUCUGACAUCCAAUAUUGAUUGAUGAGCAUGAAUGGAUAACUGACAUCUCACUGGCAGAAACUGCAGUUUCCCCUCGGCCUUCUCCUCUGAGAGCCAGCACAACUCUUCCUGAAUUCAAGGCUGAAUCAUCUCCAAGGUA